rnacentral:rRNA from 1 species
AUACGGGGGGUGCAAGCGUUAAUCGGAAUUACUGGGCGUAAAGCGCGCGUAGGCGGUUUGCUCAGUCGGAUGUGAAAGCCCAGGGCUCAACCUUGGAACUGCAUACGAUACUGGCAAACUAGAGUGUGAGAGAGGAUAGUGGAAUUUCCGGUGUAGCGGUGAAAUGCGUAGAUAUCAGAAGGAACAUCAGUGGCGAAGGCGACUGUCUGGCUCAACACUGACGCUGAGGUGCGAAAGCGUGGGUAGCAAACAGGAUUAGAAACCCUAGUAGUCC